UACGGAAUGUGCAAACGUUAUUCGGAAUCACUGGGCUUAAGGAGUCCGUAGGCGGCAUGUUAGGUGAGGUGUGAAAUCCCCCGGCUCAACCGAGGAAUUGCGCUUCAAACCGGCGUGCUUGAGGAAGAUAGAGGUGGGCGGAACUGAUGGUGGAGCGGUGAAAUGCGUUGAUAUCAUCAGGAACACCGGAGGCGAAGGCGGCCCACUGGGUCUUUUCUGACGCUGAGGGACGAAAGCUAGGGGAGCGAACGGG
rnacentral:rRNA from 1 species